rnacentral:misc_RNA from 1 species
AAAAAUGGACCCGGUCUGAAAAGAUCGACCCUGAAAAUACCGAGACUCUCCCCGGCUUGCCGGUGGAGGUGUCGACGUGUUAACCAAUUGUUGAAACUUCUAAUUUUUGCUUCGGCAGCGCCUUCCUCCGGGAGGGGUAAGGCUGCCAGAAGCCCAUUAUAAAACCAGUUGAUGAAAUGUCAUGCUGUCUGAUACUUCCUUAGUAUUUGAGAAAUCAAAUCACUGUUA